AACUUCAGCAUCUUCUACUGAAAUUUUUUAAAAAGCUUAAUCACAAAACUAAUAGAGCUUGAGUUUUGACAUGUGUGUUAUGUGUUUUUUUAUUAAUGGUCUAGGUUAAUUAAGUCAUUUCAGAUCAUCUCUCUCACUGAUAUUAUAUACGUGGCUUUCAUUUAUUUGUACAGAGCUCCGCCCGUAACUAUUAAACAACAGCAGGUGUAUGUUAACAAGAUACAUAGCUCUCUGUUUGUCUUCUCCUCUCAAGCUGCAGAUAUGUUUCACUUUCAAUCAACGUUGCCCAUAUCUUUAUCUCUUUUUCCUUCAUUUUGUCCUAUGUUUGUUUUAGGUUCUCUUCUCACGUUGAGCACAAAAGAGAUAAAAUGUUCUGUAUUAGGAGAGAAAUUUCAAUGAGAAAUCAGUAAGCAAGACCAAAGAGAGGAAAAUCGAGAAUGAAGAAAGAUGAGCAGACUCGGGACCUCAGGUACGCGAUAAGAUUAUGCGGUGGGAAAAGGAUGCGGUGGCUAAGAAAGAAAUCAAGAAAGCUACACGUAGUAUUUGUGGAUAGAAAAAACGCAGGUAUAGAAGUUCAUGCUAAAUGAUUGAAUUACCCUCAAACUUUUUUAAAAUGACACUAAGCAGACAUGUCAAAACAUGUUGCUCUUCUAUUAUAUAGAAGAAAUGAAGCUAUUGCUCUAUGAAAAUAUCAAAUAAGAUUGACUAUAAAGAGUUUUGCAGAGAUUAAAAGAAUAAGUGUGAUUAAACUUCUAAAUUUUGAGAUUAUGAUGUUUUGGUGUA